ensembl:rRNA 5S_rRNA 5S ribosomal RNA
GUCUAUGGCCAUACCACCCUGAACGCACCCAAUCUCAUCUGAUCUCAGAAGCUAAACAGGGUCUGUCUGGCCUGGUUAGUACUUGGAUGAGAGAGAAUUGAGUUUCAUCUUUC